UACAGAGGUCUCAAGCGUUGUUCGGAUUCAUUGGGCGUAAAGGGUGUGUAGGUGGCGCCGUAAGUCGGGUGUGAAAUUUCGGAGCUCAACUCCGAAAUUGCACUGGAUACUGCUCUGCUAGAGGGCUGGAGAGGAGAUCGGAAUUCACGGUGUAGCAGUGAAAUGCGUAGAUAUCGUGAGGAAGACCGAGUGGCGAAGGCGGAUCUCUGGACAGCUCCCUGGACGCUGAGGCGACGAAGGCUAGGGGAGCAAACGGG
rnacentral:rRNA from 1 species